UACGUAGGGUGCGAGCGUUAAUCGGAAUUACUGGGCGUAAAGCGUGCGCGGGCGGUCUGUUAAGACCGAUGUGAAAUCCCCGGGCUUAACCUGGGAACUGCAUUGGUGACUGGCAGGCUUUGAGUGUGGCAGAGGGAGGUAGAAUUCCACGUGUAGCAGUGAAAUGCGUAGAGAUGUGGAGGAAUACCGAUGGCGAAGGCAGCCUCCUGGGCCAACACUGACGCUCAUGCACGAAAGCGUGGGGAGCAAACAGG
rnacentral:rRNA from 1 species